rnacentral:rRNA from 1 species
CCUACGGGACGCAGCAGUGGGGAAUAUUGCACAAUGGGGGAAACGCUGAUGCAGCGACGCCGCGUGAGUGAAGAAGUAUCUCGGUACGUAAAGCUCUAUCAGCAGGGAAGAAAAUGACGGUACCUGACUAAGAAGCCCCGGCUAACUACGUGCCAGCAGCCUCGGUAAUACGUAGGGGGCAAGCGUUAUCCGGAUUUACUGGGUGGAAAGGGAGCGUAGACGGCAGCACAAGUCUGGAGUGAAAUCCCGGGGCUUAACCCCGGAACUGACUUGGAAACUGUGCGGCUGGAGUGCCGGAGGGGUAAGUGGAAUUCCUAGUGUAGCGGUGAAAUGCGUAGAUAUUAGGAGGAACACCGGUGGCGAAGGUGGCUUACUGGACUGUAACUGACGUUGAGGCUCGAAAGCGUGGGGAGCAAACAGGAUUAGAUACCCCUGUAGUC